CCUACGGGAGGCAGCAGUGGGGAAUAUUGCACAAUGGGGGAAACCCUGAUGCAGCGACGCCGCGUGAGUGAAGAAGUAUUUCGGUACGUAAAGCUCUAUCAGCAGGGAAGAAAAUGACGGUACCUGACUAAGAAGCCCCGGCUAACUACGUGCCAGCAGCCGCGGUAAUACGUAGGGGGCAAGCGUUAUCCGGAUUUACUGGGUGUAAAGGGAGCGUAGACGGCCGCGCAAGUCUGGAGUGAAAUCCCAUGGCUUAACCAUGGAACUGCUUUGGAAACUGUGCAGCUAGAGUGCAGGAGAGGUAAGCGGAAUUCCUAGUGUAGCGGUGAAAUGCGUAGAUAUUAGGAGGAACACCAGUGGCGAAGGCGGCUUACUGGACUGUAACUGACGUUGAGGCUCGAAAGCGUGGGGAGCAAACAGGAUUAGAUACCCGGGUAGUC
rnacentral:rRNA from 1 species